CUUUCUCUUAGUCUCUUACGGCUCAUCUCUCUCGGACUCUCCUUGGUCCUCUCUUAGUCUUGCUCGAUAAUCAGAGAAAAUUAGAAUAUCUUUCAAUUGUGAAGGUCAUUAUUCUGUGGUUUAUCAAGGAUUGGUUGGCUUCAAUGGUCGACAAAGUUUCAUAUCCAACAUUACUUGAUGAAGAGGAAGAGCCGGAUUCAAGUGGUCGAGAAAAGAGGAAGAGAAUGUCAUUUGUUGAUUUUGUUGAGUAUAGACCAUUAGACCUUGCUGAUAGCUUUGUAGUUUGUUAAAGCUACUGCUCCUAUGCUUUUUGAGAUGUGUUUUUUCUUCAACACUAUGUUCUAUGGUCCAGCGUUGUUGGUUCUGGCAUUGAGUUCUGAUUCAGUAUCCAUUGCUUCAGUAUCUCCUUCAUUCUGCAGCAGAAUGUUUGCUCCUUGCUUUUAUUGCAAUCUUUGAUGCUUGAUUGAAUACAGAAAUUGAAAUCCCACAGUAGCCUGCUCAAUGGGACCGAUGUCGACAAAUGUAAAGUUUAUUCUAAUGUUUCUAAACCUGUUUUGCUUAAUGUUCAGCCCAGUUAUGCUUUGCUUUU